rnacentral:rRNA from 1 species
ACGGGUGAGGAAUACAUCGGAAUCUACUUUUUCGUGGGGGAUAACGUAGGGAAACUUACGCUAAUACCGCAUACGACCUACGGGUGAAAGCAGGGGACCUUCGGGCCUUGCGCGAUUGAAUGAGCCGAUGUCGGAUUAGCUAGUUGGCGGGGUAAAGGCCCACCAAGGCGACGAUCCGUAGCUGGUCUGAAAGGAUGAUCAGCCACACUGGAACUGAGACACGGUCCAGACUCCUACGGGAGGCAGCAGUGGGGAAUAUUGGACAAUGGGCGCAAGCCUGAUCCAGCCAUACCGCGUGGGUGAAGAAGGCCUUCGGGUUGUAAAGCCCUUUUGUUGGGAAAGAAAUCCAGCCGGCUAAUACCUGGUUGGGAUGACGGUACCCAAAGAAUAAGCACCGGCUAACUUCGUGCCAGCAGCCGCGGUAAUACGAAGGGUGCAAGCGUUACUCGGAAUUACUGGGCGUAAAGCGUGCGUAGGUGGUUGUUUAAGUCUGUUGUGAAAGCCCUGGGCUCAACCUGGGAACUGCAGUGGAAACUGGACAACUAGAGUGUGGUAGAGGGUAGCGGAAUUCCCGGUGUA